rnacentral:rRNA from 1 species
AGAGUUUGAUCCUGGCUCAGGAUGAACGCUGGCGGCGUGCCUAAUACAUGCAAGUCGAGCGAACGGACGAGAAGCUUGCUUCUCUGAUGUUAGCGGCGGACGGGUGAGUAACACGUGGAUAACCUACCUAUAAGACUGGGAUAACUUCGGGAAACCGGAGCUAAUACCGGAUAAUAUUUUGAACCGCAUGGUUCAAAAGUAAAAGACGGUCUUGCUGUCACUUAUAGAUGGAUCCGCGCUGCAUUAGCUAGUUGGUAAGGUAACGGCUUACCAAGGCAACGAUGCAUAGCCGACCUGAGAGGGUGAUCGGCCACACUGGAACUGAGACACGGUCCAGACUCCUACGGGAGGCAGCAGUAGGGAAUCUUCCACAAUGGGCGAAAGCCUGACGGAGCAACGCCGCGUGAGUGAUGAAGGUCUUCGGAUCGUAAAACUCUGUUAUUAGGGAAGAACAUAUGUGUAAGUAACUGUGCACAUCUUGACGGUACCUAAUCAGAAAGCCACGGCUAACUACGUGCCAGCAGCCGCGGUAAUACGUAGGUGGCAAGCGUUAUCCGGAAUUAUUGGGCGUAAAGCGCGCGUAGGCGGUUUUUUAAGUCUGAUGUGAAAGCCCACGGCUCAACCGUGGAGGGUCAUUGGAAACUGGAAAACUUGAGUGCAGAAGAGGAAAGUGGAAUUCCAUGUGUAGCGGUGAAAUGCGCAGAGAUAUGGAGGAACACCAGUGGCGAAGGCGACUUUCUGGUCUGUAACUGACGCUGAUGUGCGAAAGCGUGGGGAUCAAACAGGAUUAGAUACCCUGGUAGUCCACGCCGUAAACGAUGAGUGCUAAGUGUUAGGGGGUUUCCGCCCCUUAGUGCUGCAGCUAACGCAUUAAGCACUCCGCCUGGGGAGUACGACCGCAAGGUUGAAACUCAAAGGAAUUGACGGGGACCCGCACAAGCGGUGGAGCAUGUGGUUUAAUUCGAAGCAACGCGAAGAACCUUACCAAAUCUUGACAUCCUUUGACAACUCUAGAGAUAGAGCCUUCCCCUUCGGGGGACAAAGUGACAGGUGGUGCAUGGUUGUCGUCAGCUCGUGUCGUGAGAUGUUGGGUUAAGUCCCGCAACGAGCGCAACCCUUAAGCUUAGUUGCCAUCAUUAAGUUGGGCACUCUAAGUUGACUGCCGGUGACAAACCGGAGGAAGGUGGGGAUGACGUCAAAUCAUCAUGCCCCUUAUGAUUUGGGCUACACACGUGCUACAAUGGACAAUACAAAGGGCAGCGAAACCGCGAGGUCAAGCAAAUCCCAUAAAGUUGUUCUCAGUUCGGAUUGUAGUCUGCAACUCGACUACAUGAAGCUGGAAUCGCUAGUAAUCGUAGAUCAGCAUGCUACGGUGAAUACGUUCCCGGGUCUUGUACACACCGCCCGUCACACCACGAGAGUUUGUAACACCCGAAGCCGGUGGAGUAACCUUUUAGGAGCUAGCCGUCGAAGGUGGGACAAAUGAUUGGGGUGAAGUCGUAACAAGGUAGCCGUAUCGGAAGGUGCGGCUGGAUCACCU